UAAUGUACACACAAUCAAUACACAAUCGGCAGAAAAACACACAACGCAGUGCUCAGUGGGUCAACAUUAACAACACAAUCAAUACACAAUCGGUAGAAAAGCACACAGUCAACACAAACCCAGCAGCUCCCUGGAAGAGGACACUUUUCACAUCAGUCGCCUCCAUUGAAGCUGCUGCUGUUCUGAAGUUCAUCACUAAAGUCCAGAGAAUCCAGCUGCUGAGAACAUUAACUCCACAGAUGUUUGUCAUCUGUUAUUAUAUAUAGACUCUCAUGUCAGUAGAACCUGACAGGUUAAAGGUUGACUGGACAGGGUUCCAGUUUUUAGAUAUUUAGAAAUGACACACGUCCAAGAUGAAUGUUUUUUCAACAUGAGACCAAAAUAGUUCAAAAUGUUCAUAGAGGUCUAGGUGUUCAUAGAGGUCUAGGUGUUCAUAGAGGUCUAGGCGUUCAUAGAGGUCUAGGCGUUCAUAGAGGUCUAGGCGUUCAUAGAGGUCUAGCUGUUCAUAGAGGUCUUGGUGUUCAUAGAGGUCUAGGCGUUCAUAGAGGUCUAGGCGUUCAUAGAGGUCUAGGCGUUCAUAGAGGUCUAGGCGUUCAUAGAGGUCUAGCUGUUCAUAGAGGUCUUGGUGUUCAUAGAGGUCUAGGCGUUCAUAGAGGUCUAGGCGUUCAUAGAGGUCUAGGCGUUCAUAGAGGUCUAGGCGUUCAUAGAGGUCUAGGCGUUCAUAGAGGUCUAGGCGUUCAUAGAGGUCUAGGUGUUCAUAGAGGUCUAGAUGUUGGUGUUCUUCAGGGUCGAGGUCUCUGAUGCUGACAUAAUAAACAUAUAUUAAAUAUCUACAGAGUGGAAUAAUUUCAGAUGAUGAAAUGUUGUUGAUGUAAUUACAGGAUAAUAAAUUAACAGAAGAGUUUAUUAGAGUCUGACGUUGGUUUUUAUUCCGGUCAGUUGGUAACAAGUUUAAAGAAGUGACCAGAGAAGAACAAAGUCCUCUGUGUUUAAUGAGAGUCAUAAAUAUGAAGUAAUGACUGUUGGUCUUAUUUUAGCUUCUUUAUGUUCACAUCUGAGGUUCAAACAUCUCAGAUUGAUGCUAAUUUAUGCUUCAUUUAGCAGCACGUCUCUGUGAACAUCAGCAUGUUGGUGUUGGAGGACACGAGGUCAUUUGUCUCAUGUUUUUUGUCAUGUUUUGUCUUGUUUUUUUCCCCCUUUUUUAGUAAUUUCUCUCGUGUUUUUGUUGUUUUGUUUCCCAAAAAUGUUGAAAAUGUGGAGAUCAGAAGUUUCACUGUGAAAAUAUAGAUUUUUAUAGACAUCAGGGUUAAAAAACUAAUAACAGGAAGAGGAGCCUCAGAUCUGAUUCUGGUGGAAGACCUGAGGAGGAAUUCAUGAAUGAAUCCAGAGACGCUGCAGACUGGAGGUUCUGGUCCAGGUCUGACGUGGUUCUGGAUGGUUCUGGUCCAGGUCUCUAACAGCCUCCACAUGUUGUUCCAGAUGUUUCUCAGAUGACAUCAGACUCUCCCUGCCUCCAGGGUUUUUAUUCACAGCUCAAAAAUUCGAACAACGAAGAUUCAGAGUUUUUAUCUGAGAGACGUUCAGAUUUGAUCUCUGAGCUCGUGGAUGUGAAGACAAACCUGGGAGAGACAUCAGUCAUAAUAAAACAACAACAACAAUUAUAACCUGAAAGACACAUGUGUGCAUUAAGAACUGAAGUCAAUCAAUUCUAAGUUAUUCUUAGAUAUUUCUGCUGUUGAAUUACAUGUAAUAAUCAUUUUUUGACAAUUAUUUUAUAAUUUUUGUUAAAUUAUUGAUGAUAUCUUGUAAAA